rnacentral:lncRNA from 1 species
GUGGGGGUGUUAAUUUUAUAUUAUGCUAUUUUUUACAUCACCAAAAAAUAAUAGGCCACUGCCAACCCAGUUAGGUCAAGAUUCCUGCUCAGAAGGUUCUCUGUACCCUAGAAAGGAUGGGUAUAGGUCACAGUGACACACACCUGUAUUCCCAGCACUCAGGAGGCUGAGGCAGGAGGAUCUCCAUGAGUCUGAGGCUAGCCUAGGCUAUAUAGUGAGACCGUGUCUCAAACAAACAAACAGAACCAAAUGAAAGAAAGAGAAUGGAAAGACAGGAGAUUCCUCUGUACAAAGAAGUCUCUGGCGAGAUCUGUUAUGGGAACGCAGUCCGGGCUUAUUUAGCAAUUCUGGCAAAACGCCUCAUGAGAAGAGCUUGCGAGCAGAGCUUUCCCGCCUGUUGAAACGCUGUGCUGGGUCUCCCUCAUUCCCUCCCAGACCGCGUCUACACGGCGGCAGCACCCUGCAGCACAGGUCCCCAGCCUGCUGAAUGCGACCCAAUCCCCGGAUGUCAGUGACCCCGGAUCGUCACACAUCAGUUUCCAUGUGCUGAGAAACUGCUGUCGGCUGAGCCCUGGCCCUGAGGAAGCGCCAACCGAGACCAGGACCACAGGCGUUUUCUGGACACCUCGGGCUUUCAUUCCACCCCUGCGCCAGCUGGGCCUCCUGCGUGCCAGGGAGACCCGUUUGUGAGUCCGCUGGGUUCCCGUUUCUGUGAGCUGUCCUGUGCUCUGGGUGGUGGGAAGGCAGGGGAAUCCAGACCCAGAUUCUGGCCCUGGCAGAUUCAGGGUCCCCGCCCAGCAGCCCCUGGGCCUCCCCUCCCCUGCC